GAACGCACCUUGCACUCCUUGGUAUUCCGAGGAGUAUGCCUGUUUGAGUGUCAUUAAAUUCUCAAACCUCCGUUGGCUUUAUUGACAGCGAGGCUUUGGAUGUGGGGGCUGCUGGACUCUAACGAGAUCAGCUCUCCUUAAAUGCAUUAGUGGUUACUGUUUUCCACUACCAGGUGUGAUAAUAUCUACGCCUCGGUGGAAAUGUUAAGUGUAGCUGCUUUCUAACCGUCCAUGCAAUGUGGACAACUUGAAACAUUUGACCUCAAAUCAGGUAGGACUACCCGCUGAACUUAAG
rnacentral:misc_RNA from 1 species